rnacentral:misc_RNA from 1 species
AACUUGAAAAUCCUCUUGGAUCCUUUGGCCGGAGAUUGGCCAUUUGUGCAGGCAGAACAGUUGGCCCACUUGGCGCUGAGAUGUUGUGAAAUGAAUCGAAAGAGCCGGCCAGAUCUUGCAUCAGAUGGAGGGUACUUGAACCAAUGAAAGCUUCAUGUGGAGGCUCAUCAUGUUUCCGGCUUGGUUCAGAAGAGCACUGCCAACCUCCUCCAUAUUUUAUAUGCCCAAUUUUCCAGGAAG